CCACGGGCUUGGCCCCGUUGGUGACACACGUGCAGUGAGGAGAGACCCUAAAAAGGGACUCGGAUGUACUUCAGCAAUGACGCAAAGGCAAAUUAGUCACUGGAGAAAACCUCAGUGCCUGUGAUGGCUGGCCGUGGUUAGAAGGUGGUGGUGACAAACACCUGUGACAGCAGAAGGCCAAGAGGCACGAAGAUGGCAUGGCAUGCUCCUGGCUCUGGAGUAUCUCCCUGAUGCCAGCUGGUUUUUGGGGUGCUCAGCAUCUUGCAGGACAUGAGCAAACCUGGCCACAGCAGAGGCAGCAAGAUCAAGGUGAAAUCUUCAGGAGGAGCACUCAUGGAGAGCUAAGGAAGAGUUUGUCCUGCCCUUCAGAGAGCAGAUGCACAAGGCAGAGCUCUGGCACGGGCUUGGAUUUCUGCAAGGAGAACAGAGUGAGGCACUGGCCUGGUUUCCAGGAAAGGAGAACAGUGUGUCACAGAGAAGGCAUUGAAAAGACCUGAGGCUUCUGCUCAGCUUUCGGUCUUACUCCUGCAGACACGUGGGUGCUUGGGAGUUCAAAAGGCUGAACUGGAGGCUGUCCUGCAGCUGGCAGAGGACAAGAAGCUGUGGGCUCCUCCUGCAGAGCUACUAGAGCAGAGACCACAGAGGGUGUCCCUGCUUCUGCUGGAGAUCCCUGCUUGGCUCAGCAUCAAUCCCUGCAGCGCUGACCUUUGCAGUGGGACUGUGGGAAUCUGAGGUGGACAGGAAGGCUUGGUACAAGGCACCAUCUCCAGUGUCCAGAGCCCCCAAAAGACACUGGCAGCCUUUCAGCAACAUCUCAAAACCUCACAGGAUCUCUGACAUCCUCUCCAGCUGGUGCAUCCCACAGCACAGGUAGGGCUGGGCACACCACACGUUUCCUCCAGCCGACCCACCCAUUUCCUAUUUUCUGCAGACAUGAAAACUAGUGAGUUAAUCCUGCAGGCCAUAAACUAAGCUGUAUUAGCAGACACCAUCUGUCCUUUUUCAUUUGCUGAUGCACGACCUAUUUUGCUGUGUAGCAGAGCAGGCACUGCAGUUUCAGGGCUUGCACGUUGCAGUGUCCCUGUUGCCAGGGCAUAAUCCACUGCUCACAGGGACCUGCUAGUGGGAGAAGGCUCCAGUGAACUGAGCACCACUGGGACCUGCUGCCAUGGGCAGGUGGUGGAUAAAGCCUGAACCCGUGGCUGCUUGGCCUCCAAAGAGGUUUGGGCUUCAACACCAUGAAGCACCUGGGAAGGGUCUCAGAACUUCCAAGGACAAGAGCACAGCUGCCCCCAGCAGGGUCUCCUGAAACCCCUUCAGUAAUGGCCACAUCCACAUUCCCUCACUUAUCAGGAGGUCGUGGAGAGACCUGAAUUCUCAUCCCAAAGUGGGGUUUAUGGAAACAUGCUCAGCACUCCAGCCAUGCUGCUCCAUCCUGGGGUAAUUCCCGUGCUUUAUAGAGCUGAGCAGUGGCAAUCAUACCAGGAUAGGGAAAGACAGGAAGAGAACUCUUCCUUUAUCCUUCUGGUCAUGUCUUGGAGCAGUGUGGUGACCCUUGCCUGGGUACAGAAGUACAGACAUUGUGAAAGGUCAUAAAACCAUCAGGGUUUUCCAAGCCACUGAUUAUUUGACUUUACCAACUCUUGAGGCAAUUCCAAAGGUUAGUGCCUUGCUGCAAGAAGCCUCCUGAAUUUACCAACUUUUAAUUUAACUCAGUGCUGGUGGCAGGAAUUUUCCCUGAGUUCUGAAACAAAAAGCCAGGAAAUUCUGUGUCUGUGUGCUAAGGAGUCAGGAGGGAGCUGAGUGCAGGGCUGGGUGCUAAGACACUCAUCUGUUCCUCAGAACCAGGAUGAACACUGCUCACCCCCCUCUGGACUCCCAAAAUCAGCCAGAGAAUUUUCAGCGUCCUGCCUCACCGCAUGAAAGCGAAAGAGACAGUGGAAGGAACUAUUCAGACUGACCUUGGCCUUAGCCAGACCACUUCUUUCUGAGUUAGCUCAGUUGCUUUAUUUGGGUUUUCCAAAGAACUCCCAAGCUCCUGGCGAGGAUGUGGCCCAAAUCCACCCCCUUCUCUGCCGUCAGUGUCCUCUGAGUGCCCAGCUCUGCCAGAAAGCUGGCCUGGAGUCAUUCUCCUUUCCUGCUAGUCCUGCUCUUUUCUCCUAGGAACUGGCUUAAGCUCUGAACCCUGGGGUUUCCUACCCUGAAAUCUGUGGUAACUCCUGCACGGUCUUGCUGCCUGCAGAGGUGUUUUACCCCUCUGCUGAGCUCUGUACCCUCAGCUUACAGCAGCAGCAAGCCCUGCUGUCUCCUUCCCGCCUUCCCUAAGCUUUGCCCAGUGUUCCUUUGUGCUGUGAACACUCUGCAUCAGAUGUGACAAGAAACAAUGACUUUCCACAACAUACCUUGGUGUUCCUGCAAGCUGUGCCCCCCAUCCUGCACUGGGAAAAGGAGAGCUGCUGUCAGGAUCUCUGUGCUAGACUGAGAGUUUGGGAUGUAAAUCCCCACUGCACAAGACUGAUCCCAACUUUUCUUCUUUCUCUCUUUGAGCUUUGGGAGGAGAACUGGCUCAAGAAUUGUAUUGAUCUUAGUCCAGGAACAAACAUUCCCCUUCCACAGACCACAGCCUCUCUCUCCUGUGUGUCAUGUGAGGAAGAGGAGCAGGGAAGGGCAGUGCUUUGCCAAGACUAGAAUGUACCCAAAGCUGUGACUGCUGUCAGGAGGUGGGAAGAGGAAGAAAGAGCCCGUGCGGUCAGCCCUGGAAAGGGCAGUUCCUGCUGAGAACUGCCUGGGGAACAUUCCCAUUUUCAUAACCAGCAACAGCUGUGAAAAGGGGAAAGAACAGUGACUCUGGACCCUGCCAGCAGCACCUCUAGCCUGCAGGCAGGCUGGGAGAGCAGAGAGAGCUCCCAGCACAGCGCCCUGGCCCCGCAGCAAGGAAAACGUGUGUCAUUUUUCCAGAGGGCUGAGCCAGCAUUAACCAGGUGGGGAAUGUAUGAGACUCUCACUCUGAACAUGUGCUUGCUCAGGGUUCCCUUGUCUCAGCUGAGAUCUUUCCCCAGUCUGACCCUUGUCUGCCAGGGCCCUGCCCCCAGCUCAGUCCAGGGCUGUUCCCCCUGUGCUCUGUUCUCUGCAGCAGAACAAGAUGGGCAAAGGGAGAGGGGAGCUGUAGUUUGUCCUUCUGUAGUCUGUCCUUCAUUCCUGGGCUGACAUGGAAAGGCAAAUGGGGUUUGUUCUGCUGGGUUUUGCUGCUGACCCAUGCCUUCCUUCCCCCAACCUAAUGCCAUAACCACAAGCCCAUUCUCUCUAACUUCAAGCACAACCCACCUUUACCCCGAUCAGAAAAUUCUUCUACUCCCUCCCUUCUCUCCCUCAGCCCUUCACCCCCAUGAGAAACACUCAUCCCUCUCUGGGGCUUGUAACAUCCCUCUCUUGUGGGCUGUCUAAACCAGUGAUUGAGCAAAGUGCCCCCUGUGCUGCCUCAGGCUGGGCUGUGCACAGCAGAAAAUUGAGUAGGAGUUUUCUGGGGCGAUCAGUGUGCACUGAGACCUCAAAAGCUUCUCUGAAAUCAGGCCCUGCUGUUGCUCCAGAGCAUCCUUCUAACAGGGAGGCAUCAGCCUCUCAUCGCCCAGCCCUGCCAUCUCUGAUCCAGGCUGCCACCCCUUUUCCCCUGAGCACCAGGAAAAGUUCAGUGCCUGACACUGAAACAGCGGUAGCUGCCAAAAGCUUCUCAGCUGCCCCUGAGUUACAUGAGCCUUCCCUGCAGUCUCUCAGGAGGAGCUGUCAGCAAAAACAGCCCUAUUUAACCAGAGCAGAGACAGCCUGGCUUUGCAUGGCCUCCCUCUGCCUUUCCCUGCUCCCCUGGAAUCAGGCAUUCUUUGGGAAAAGCCUCUCAGGGCAGCGCCGGCUCCUGCACUUCCCCUGGAUGUGAAGCUCAGCCGCAGCAGCAUGCAGGUGUUCACGUAGCUCUGGGUCCUGCUCCAGCUCUUCCCUCCCCCCUUCCAUGGAUCUCCUGCAGGAUUCAUAGCCCAGCACCCAGGGGUGCUCCUUAGCCCCAGAAUGGCACCCUCAGCAUGGGAUGAGCAGCAAAAUCGCAGCUGGAAAAUCUGGCAGUGGACAUGGAGCAGAGCCCUGUCCCCGGGCUGAGGACCAAGAAUGCCUCUUUCCCAUCCGACACGCCAAGACUCUGAGCCCUGCCAAACCCCAGUGUUUGUUCCUGCAUUUGGCAAGCAAGGGAUGGCAACAAAAGCAUGUGCGAGGCAGAAGGAGUUCAGUGAAGGAGGGAAGUGGGUUUCUCUUGGGUCUCUGUGACCUUUUCUGGUUUGGAAAGAACAGAGAUGUGCAGAGAUGCUCACAAUGCACAGCAAGGCUGUUUCCACUGCCCCAGCAGCAGAACAAACCUCGUGGCCUCCUUCAGUCACAGGAAAUUUGAGCCCAGAGCCACAUCCCAGCCUUUGGCUGCUGGAGUGGAAGCAGAAAUCCAGCUCCUGGGAGUCGGUGCCUUUGCCUGUGUGCAAGGAAAAUUUAUGUGCAGCCAUGGAACUUCACUAUGGGCGCCUGGUCUUCCAUCCCUGCUUCUCUGGGAUACAGCUCCUGCUGUGGGAUGGGAACAAUUUUUCUUCAGCUGGCAGCAGCUGAGCUAAGUUGUCUUGGAGUCCAUGGACUGGGAGUUCUGUCAGCAAUGCCCUUGGCCACGAGGAUCCCAUCACCUCUCUCCUUAGAGAAGCAAGCACAGAGAAGGAGCUGUUGGGGUAGGGCCAAGAGAAGGGCUGAGACUGAAGAGUCCAAUGACUCCAGUAGUUUCUCUGUGUGCUUCCAGUCCUUAUGGCUUAACCUCAGAGAGAAAGGUUGGUGCUGGCAGUAGGAAAGGAGUGGGGCUCUGUGCAGGUAAAUCAGGAAUGUGCCUCGAUCCUUUGAGAGCUGAGAGUCAGGAGCAGGUUUAUAGCAAAGAUAGAAAAGCUGAUUUGGCCAAAGGGAUAAUAUUUCUGUUGGGAACCAGAGAACUAUUGAUUACUCAAGUAACCUCAACUAUUUAACAAACAGCUACUUCAGCAGAAAUAAAUUUCAGCCUGGCUUUAGGGAGAGGAUUGAGGGGACUCCAGGGUGGCCAGGCAAUAGCAGGAAUGUGUAUUCCCACUCUCCUUGACUCUCCUUGCUGUGCUGCUGCCCUGCCUGCUCCCAGUGGCACCAGAUAAGGAGUGAAACCAAACACAAGGUAGGUGCCUGUGAGUGUCCCUGACAAAGGAAGGGGGGAAAAUGUUCACUGCAGCAGGGUUGUGGCCAAGAUAGACUGUGAAAUAGGAAGGAUUAAAAUGUCUCACAGGAUCUGGCUCAGCUCCCAGGGUCUUCUCUGGACACUGGCACAAAGGCAGCUCCUCCUGAUGCUUCGGGUCUCUGCAGAGGCUCGCAGAUCCAUAGCACUUUUCCCAGGAGGGAGCACGAGUUCCCAGUUAUUGGAUUUCUGUCUUAUUGUGUGCCUGGCAGUGACAGCUUCUGGUGGGGGCUGAACACACAGGUAACAGAGCAUGGCUGUGGGGACAGGGUCACACCAAGGUACUGGGAUCAUGUCAGAGCCUCAGCUGCUGCAGCUUAUGUGCAGAUGCCAGGCUUUGUAAUAUUCACAUGAUCAUCUCUUUUGCAAUGUAGGCAAGUAUGGGGGAAAGCAAGGAGAGCCAGCUGAGCCAUGGAGAAGGUCAAGGACUAGGAGGGGGUGACUUGGCCUUUCUGUUUGUGAGAGGUCCUGGUGCCAUUCUUGCACAGAAUUUUGAAUAACCUUGAAAAAAAUCAAGUUGGAACAUGACUUUGAAGCAGUCCCGCUGCUGGUCAUGCAUGACCACAACCUCAGGGAUGAAACUGCAGAACAGCAGCGUUAACUCCUCCCUGCACCCUUCCCAAACUGGCCCUGGGAGCCUGGAUCAGGCUGUGCCCAGUGAGGUCCCACUUGGAGUGCUGGGGCCCAUCCCGGGCUGGCUCCCUCCCAGCACAGCUGCCCUGAGCAGAGCUGAGGGCUGGCACGGAGCAGCUGACGGGCCCUCCCCUCCCUGCCUGCCCAUGCCAGAGCCUUGGAAUGCAGCUGGCCCCACAGGCACCUGGGUGACAGCACUGCCUGUCACCCUCCAAGCCUGGGCCUCCCACCCCUUGCUCCCAGAGAAGCCCGACAGAGCAGCACAAGCUGUUGCUGUUGGCAAUUCCCAUCCCAUAAGCAGCAGCAUGGCCACCUGGGCCACUCCCAAGUGGUCCCAGUAGACCUAGCAUCUGUGCCUUGGUGGGGAAGGAUUGUGCAUCACACAGCAAUCACUUCCCUAAUUAAAGCAUAUUUAUGCUUCUUAUUGGAAUUGCGCUCUCAAGCACUCCUGGCUGCAUUUAUUUCUCCAUGGCCCCACUGGGUCAUGGCCCCCAGUCUUUAAAAGCCUCAGGAAAUGUGCUGGUUCAACAAAACAGUUGUGACAGGAGCAUUGGCCUCUCCCUGUUCUUGGAUUUCAAGCAAGGUUUCUACUUUGUGCCUCUUCUAUUCCAUCCUUGUACUGAUUUCUGACACCCACAGGGGUCACCAACACUGGCCUUUUGACCCCAGAUGUGUUUUCCUCAGUCAGAGACACACUGAGAAUCUUGACAGGCCAUAAUCAGCUCAGCACACACGAGUGGGGUGCUCACAAACUCAUUUUCCAGUUUGCUAAGGCUGCGUAGCCUGAGUGUGGGUGUAGAGUCCCUACACCCCGCUGCUGUGGGAUGGGAGCUGGGAGCCCACAAGCAGCAAGGAACGAGCCCAACUCUUGGAUUAAGAAAAAAGAUGAAGUUCCCCCCCAGGACCAGGGGCCAGCACAGCACACAGGUACUGCUGAGCUGCUGCAGGGCAGAGGUGACCAUCACCCUUGCUCCCUCUGCAAACAAAACAGAUCCCGUUAUGCAACCCUCGUGCUAAAAGGCAACACGACAUCCAGAGAGGCUUCAAGGACUUUGUUAUUUUGCCUUUCAGGUCUGCAGAUCCCCAGGAUCCACAUCCAGAGAGCUGCUGGCAGUACCCGUGCACCUGGCUGCCUUCCCCAGAACUAUUGGUGCUGCACAGGCGUUGGGAGUGCUGGGGAUGUGCAGUUUAGGAUUCCCACCACAAACGCGCUGCUGGGCUCGGUCCCAGUGCACCAGCUCUGCUGUCUCCUCUGAGAUAGAAGCAGCUCAGGGGAUGGAGUCUCAAACUUCUGAUCCAUUUCAUCAAUGAUCCAUGCUCUAAUCCCUAGGGAGAACUCUGCUCCCCUUCUCCAGCCAGGGACCAGGGCUGCUCUCCAGUCCCUUUAUCCUGUUAUCUUAUCCUGUUCUGGAAGUGCAGGUACUCCUGGCUCUUCCCAGCACAGCACCAGUGACACACACACUGCCCUCCUGGGGGGAAGCAUCUGCACCACUUUCUGCACCAGCCAGCUGGACUCUGACCUGCUCUCCCUGUCCCACAGCCAAGCCCUGCUGUGCCAGGCUGUUCAGGCAUUGUAUAAUAUUCCCAGGAGCCAUCCCCCAGCACCGCAUCACCCCGAGAGAUGCCGGGGCCGGCGCUGAUCCCACAGCAGCUCGCGGAGCUCCCCCCUGCCCCGCGGCAUCCCUUACCUGUCCCCGGAGCCCACUCCCGGUGCCGCGCUCUCCCCUCCGCAGUCUCCCCGCUCUCCCUUUCCCACUCCCCUUCCCUCUGCGCCACCUCCCCGCGUGAUGUCAGCGCAGCCCGGCCCCCGCAGCCUCCCCAGCGCACCCUCCACGCCACGCAGCCGCCCAUCGCAUCCCGCUGCUGCUGCUGCUGCUGCUGCUUCGCUGCCCAGCGUUGCCACAGCGACAGCAGGGGAAUCCCAUCCUCUGCUCAUCCACCUUCCAGGGCCUCGCUUGGUAUCACCCACUGCAGCUCUUCCCAAACAGACCGCGGGAAGGACGGGGCGACAGCAGGGGACAGCAGCAGGGAGCGGCCGGUGAUGGCCUUGUGGCUCAACACGCCUGGAAGGGAGAGCAGAGGCAGCCAGGGGAAACAGGCUCAGAGCGAACAGGCUCUCACCUUACCCACAGCAGUUCCACCCGUGUCCCCUGAGCGCUUCCCACCUUCCCACUCCCUCCAUUCCUCGCUCCCAGGCACUUCUUUGUUCCUCAGCCCCACGCGCUCGCUCCUUCAGGGCUGUGCACAUGAGCAUCGUGAUGGCACAAACUCCCCACAGACAUCUUUGGAGUGGCUUCUCCUCGCCCCCACAUCAAGGUCAGAGAUCAGGUUAUUGAUCAGAAACUCAAGACCAGCUCCAAAGCAGACCAUCAGGAGUCGGUAGGCUCAUUACCCCUAACCACAAACCCACAGUGAAAGGUUUUCCUGCAAUGCCUGUCGCCAAUGGUUUCAUUGGGAAGGGAGAAGGGCAGAUACAUUUUUAGGACUGCAGCACAUUUUUAAUGGAAAGAGAUGGCCCAGGGCUUUCAUCCCUCCCCCCAUUCAAGAUGCUGUUUCUUUUCAGCAGAAAUAUUGCUGCAUUAGAGAACAGGUCACUUCCUCUAUCAGUGAGAAUUCAGUGUCCUAUUUGAUGCUGGUCCUUGUGCUAUAAAUAGGAAUUUUCCCCUUUUAUAGUUGCUGAAUAAUUGUGUGUAUGAAAUAUGAACACAGUUUUCAAAAGAGUGCCUGAUAAGCAGCUUGCUGGAACGAAAUGGUUGAGCAGAAGGAUUUUACAGCACCUGCAGAGCAUCGUGUGCUGUGGAAAACAUUCAAGGUCAGCAUGAGAGAGACAGGUCACAGAACAGAUCCAGCUCCAGAGGAUCCAGGCUUGAGCUCACAGACUCCCCACUGCAGCCUCCCCCCCACAGCUCCCCAACAAUCCAUUUCACGCUCCACACUCAGGUGAGGAUCAAACAGAGACAGCCCAGCUCAGAGGAGGCAAGACUCCUCCAUCCCACAGACCAGAAAGCCAGGAGAAGCAGGCAGAACAGGUUCUUAAAACAGCAGCAGGCAAGGAGCAGGACACAAUCCCGGAGAAGGAGGAAGAGCACAGUUUAACAUCCACCAUCAAAAGGAACAAGGAAAGAACACCACAAAGGCCAGAGAGGCACAGGAAUGGUAAUGGGAGGUACAGAGAGGUAAUGAACACACCUGAGCACAGAGACAGAAUGGCGGAGGAGCAGGAGAGCCCAAUUAUGCUGGAAAACCAGUAAUUUCUGCAGGAAAUGGGUACAUGCAGCCCAACCCUUUCUGCUGCCUGAACACAAGCAGGGCUGCAAGAACCGUGGAUAAACAACAAACCUCCAUCAGUCCAUCAGGAACAGCCUCCUCUGGAACACUCCAGAGGGUCAGAAUCCCUGUGGAGGCAGGAGAAAGGGAGGCCAGGAAAUGCUCUCGUUCCCUGCAUUAGGACAGAUUUUUCCCUGUGAAUUUAGAGGGAGGGAGGGAGGGAGGGAUGCAGCCAAGUAUGAAAGACAGAAACAGAAGACACAAUGGUGGCUUCCAGUUGCUGCAGGAGGAGAGAAGGAAGUAACAUCAGCUCCUCCACACACUGGAGAUUCAAAGGGAGAAGGAAAAACAGGGACUACAUCAGUUAAAACACUGCAAGGAGCUCUGGACAGAGAGGAUACACAGGGGCUCGAUGCUUUCAGCGUCACACAGGAAGAGAGAGAAGCAGCAAAAAACCACCAUUGCUAUGGUGAUCUAAAGCAUUGGACACACUCAGCAAGGAGAAGAGAUAAAAGGAAUUACAAGCCACAUUCCCAGCUGCACAGAACAUCCUUGAGAUAGGAUCAGGCCCCAGGAUCCACCCAGCUCAAUUGUUAGUUGAUGCUGUCAUCUGCCUCCUCAUCCUCCACACUGUCUGCAGGUCAAAGAGGACACAGCACCAGAUACAAAUGUAAAGGGGUUAUUUUAUUAUUGAUUCAGAGGUUAGACAAGGCACCAUUUGAUCUAAAAAGAAAUGCAAAAAAAACCACCCCCAAUUAAGUGUUAUUUUUGCAGGCAAUUAAGAAAAAGUCUCUUUUGCAUUUCUUCAGCAUUGUGUGAAUUCCAGCUUUGUCAUGAUCACAGAAAAGCCACCCCACUCCCAAGUAAGGCAGGUUUGGACUAGAGCCACGGCCCCUCUGUUCAGCAGCAGAGAAUCCUUGAGAAGUCUCUAUGCCAGGGUUUAGGAAUGCAGCAGAACAAGAAAAACAAAACUUCCAGGAAAAGACCACAGCAUCUCUUUUUUCUUUUCCAUUUCAGACACGAUGAAUCAUUUGUUCGUUUUGGUCCUCGCUGAUAGGAAAUAACUUCAGAAAAAAAUCACAGCAAACCUUUCAGUGGCCUCAGAGUACCAAGAGCCCAUGAGACAAGCCCUGAAAGUCCUGGAGAAGCCUGGAAUAACACCUAGCCUUGCCCUCCAACAGGUCAAGGACCUGCAGCUGAUCUCUGAGAAAUAUUUCCCUCUCCACAAUUGUUUUACCUCCACAACCAUGAUUUCUAAGAAGACUGCCUCCUCUUCACAAUGAUUCUGCCAAAUAAGAAAUCCAACCAAAACCCAACCAAAUCAGCCC